CGUUCUCUUGCCGUCCCCAAUUUACGGAAGGAACUCGCCGAGGAAAAAAUUCCAUCUUAAUUAAUGGCGCGGACCGCCAUUUUUUCCCUUUUCUUUCACGACGAAGAAAAAUGAGGCAGCAAAAAAGAUAACACGUGAGAAUCUACGUGGAACAACUCUCAGUCAUUUCGCCGGCUUCAAUUCGCUUCCCAAAAUGAAUAAAAAGCUUCGAUCGACUGUGCCCGUUGAAAAAACGAUGAAUUCGAAGAAUCCUGACACGGAUCUCUGCUCAUUUUCGGUACGGAUCUGCGAAAGAAAAAAGCGUAGUUCGAAUGAAAAUGGACCAGGGAUUUGCAAUGUAAAAGUCACGUGGAAUGUCUGACGUAUUAAUAUAUACGCGUACAUAUUGGAGUAUGCUGUACCGACAGAUCAAACGAACGAGUCCCCCAUCUCGCAGCAUUCCUGAUUGGGCGAUUAUAUGAAAAUUCCUGUAACGAGGAAUUCCCCGAGAAGUUUGAACUCCGAAUUUCGGCUGAGAGACAAAGAGAGGGUGGGAGAGAGGGAACGAAUGACGUGGGGGGUGAGGGAAGAGCGAGGGAGGCGUGGAAUUGAAUAUUGAGCAAUGAAAAAUAGUGGAGCUUCAUUAAAAUUGAUUAUCUCAAAUAACGCGAACUCGUACGUUAGAGGGAUCGAGUGCCUGCGUCGCGAAUCGAGUCUCAAAGUUUGAGUUGCAACGAGGAAAAAAAUGCUUCAGAAAAUAAAUAUCCAUGAAAAAAAAUAUUUAAUAUGAGGGAUAUUAAAUUCUCGAGAUCUUUUAAACGUAAAUAUUUAAUAAUAUAGCUUUUGCGCGCAGGAAAAAAUUCUAAGGGUCUUACUGUCAGAUAAAAGUUCGUACAGUUCUUAAACUAACGAUUCCAGGAUGGCUCAAUCUGAGAAUAAAGAGGGGAAAAAAGGACGAGAGUACCUACGGCACGAGCACCAGCAACUUGCUGCAUAAAUCCGCAACUUCCUUAUACGCGCGGAGAGUCUGCCAUGACUUUAUCCAAAUACGCACACUGACGUACCAUGUAAAUCUAUAUUCGUACAUGUAAAAUACAUAAUAUAUAAGCUACGGA